rnacentral:rRNA from 1 species
AGUGAACGCUGGCGGUAGGCCUAACACAUGCAAGUCGAACGGCAGCACAGUAAGAGCUUGCUCUUACGGGUGGCGAGUGGCGGACGGGUGAGGAAUACAUCGGAAUCUACUUUUUCGUGGGGGAUAACGUAGGGAAACUUACGCUAAUACCGCAUACGACCUACGGGUGAAAGCACGGGAUCUUCGGACCUUGCGCGAUUGAAUGAGCCGAUGUCGGAUUAGCUAGUUGGCGGGGUAAAGGCCCACCAAGGCGACGAUCCGUAGCUGGUCUGUGAGGAUGAUCAGCCACACUGGAACUGAGACACGGUCCAGACUACUACGGGAGGGAGCAGUGGGGAAUAUUGGACAAGGGGCGCAAGCCUGAUCCAGCCAUACCGCGUGGGUGAAGAAGGCCUUCGGGUUGUAAAGCCCUUUUGUUGGGAAAGAAAAGCAGCAGGUUAAUACCCCGCUGUUCUGACGGUACCCAAAGAAUAAGCACCGGCUAACUUCGUG